rnacentral:rRNA from 1 species
UGCAUAUCAAUAAGCGGAGGAAAAGAAACUAACAAGGAUUCCCCUAGUAACGGCGAGUGAAGCGGGAUGAGCUCAAAUUUGUAAUCUGGUGGACUCAGUUCAUCCGAGUUGUAAUCUAUAGAAAAGUUUUCCGCGCCGGACCGUGUCUAAGUCCCUUGGAACAGGGUGUCAGAGAGGGUGAGAAUCCCGUGCUUGAUACGACCACCGGUGCUAUGUGAUACUUUUUCAACGAGUCGAGUUGUUUGGGAAUGCAGCUCAAAAUGGGUGGUAAAUUCCAUCUAAAGCUAAAUAUUGGCGAGAGACCGAUAGCGAACAAGUACCGUGAGGGAAAGAUGAAAAGCACUUUGGAAAGAGAGUUAAACAGUACGUGAAAUUGUUAAAAGGGAAACGAUUGAAGUCAGUCGUGCUCUCUGGGACUCAGCCGGUUCUUCCGGUGUAUUUCCCAGUGAGCGGGUCAACAUCAGUUUAGAUCGCUGGAUAAGGUCAUUAGGAAUGUGGCUCCCUCGGGAGUGUUAUAGCCUAGUGUCGCAUACAGUGGUUUAGACUGAGGAACGCAGCUCGCCUUUAUGGCCGGGGUUCGCCCACGUCCGAGCUUAGGAUGUUGACAUAAUGGCUUUAAACGACCCGUCUUGGAAACACGGACCAA